UAGGAACAGUUAUUAAAGAUAAUGCACACCUUAAAAUAUUACUAUUGGGUUAUUAAUCCUGCUGACAGUAGUGGCAUUACACCUAAAGGAUUAGGAUGAAAAUAUUCAUGAUGUGCUACAGUUACUGGUGGCUUUAAUGUCAGAACACCCAGCCUCAAUGAUACCAGUAUUUAAUCAAAGAAAUGGAAUAAGCACGUUGGGUGAGAGAAAGAAAGAAAUCACAUCCUUUAUCCUCCCACACAGCCAAAGAUUCCUGAAGACAGAGCUGAUGCCAUGUACUCAAGUGGGUCUCUGCCUCUCAGAGGUGGCCUUGGUCUUCAAGUUUCAGCAAUUCUGGGAAGCCAAGGACACCUCCAUCUCCUCCUGCCUGAUCUGCAACUCAUCUGAGAGCAGCUUUCUCAUUGGAAUGUCUUGUGUUUAAGGAACAAGAAUCCCUGUUUCCGGUUUGGGUGCCCAAGUGCACCUACUGGAUCCAACCCAGGAUUGGAGAUACUUUGCAGAACACAACAUCAUCUGGCACAUGACCAGCCAUGGUGUUUCACUUUCACAAUUUCAGCUUCCUUCACUGAUGGCAGCAUAAUCGUGGUUCAGCAGCCUCCAAGACCAGGGCUGGUGUGGGCGGCUACAGGGAGAAAUUCAAGAGGAAGUUCUUGGUGGUGCCCUCCAUGAGUACAAAGAAGCCUCAGUCCCCAGGACACCCUUCCGUGCAUGGUGUCACUGACAUCUUUAUUUCUUUUGUCACGUUCUGUAAAUCACAAUGAAUGGGGUAUUCUUCUUCUAUUAUAUAUUUGUUAAGUCUUUUUUGGCAUCUUUAAAAAAAAGUGGUAACUUUAUCCUAUGUAAUAUCCCUGUUAAGUCCUAAAAGUCUUUUCUGAUGUCUAUUUUGUCUGAAAUUUGCACAGCUACUAUAGCUUUAUUUCGGUUCAUAUUUUCAUAAUCCAUGUUUUCUCAUCCUUUUAUAUUUGUGAAUGUGUAAAGUAACUUUCUUGUGCAUAGCUAAGAGUUUGGUCUUGCUUUU